rnacentral:lncRNA from 1 species
UGAUGGAAACCGUCCAGCCUUAAAACUUUCGGCCAAGAAGAUAGACGAAGAUCGAGUUUUAAUGAAGAGUUUGUAAAGUCUUUUUCUUCUUCUUAGCCUUGUAAAAAUUGUAUAGAGUAGUUAGGAAGUUUUGGGCCUUGUAUUUUGGGCCAAAGUAGAGAAAGAUGUAAAUAGAAAACAAAGUAAUGUGUAAAAUAGUAAAAGAGGGGUGCAAAUAGAAAUGUAGGCAAGGAAGGCAUGAGUCUCCACAUGUCUUCUACUUAAUG